CUUGCUUCUCUUGAGAGCGGCGGACGGGUGAGUAAUGCCUAGGAAUCUGCCUGGUAGUGGGGGAUAACGUUCGGAAACGGACGCUAAUACCGCAUACGUCCUACGGGAGAAAGCAGGGGACCUUCGGGCCUUGCGCUAUCAGAUGAGCCUAGGUCGGAUUAGCUAGUUGGUGGGGUAAUGGCUCACCAAGGCGACGAUCCGUAACUGGUCUGAGAGGAUGAUCAGUCACACUGGAACUGAGACACGGUCCAGACUCCUACGGGAGGCAGCAGUGGGGAAUAUUGGACAAUGGGCGAAAGCCUGAUCCAGCCAUGCCGCGUGUGUGAAGAAGGUCUUCGGAUUGUAAAGCACUUUAAGUUGGGAGGAAGGGUUGUAGAUUAAUACUCUGCAAUUUUGACGUUACCGACAGAAUAAGCACCGGCUAACUCUGUGCCAGCAGCCGCGGUAAUACAGAGGGUGCAAGCGUUAAUCGGAAUUACUGGGCGUAAAGCGCGCGUAGGUGGUUUGUUAAGUUGGACGUGAAAUCCCCGGGCUCAACCUGGGAACUGCAUUCAAAACUGACUGACUAGAGUAUGGUAGAGGGUGGUGGAAUUUCCUGUGUAGCGGUGAAAUGCGUAGAUAUAGGAAGGAACACCAGUGGCGAAGGCGACCACCUGGACUAAUACUGACACUGAGGUGCGAAAGCGUGGGGGAGCAAACAGGAUUGAUACCCUGGUAGUCCACGCCGUAAACGAUGUCAACUAGCCGUUGGAA
rnacentral:rRNA from 1 species